UACGAAGGGGGCUAGCGUUGCUCGGAAUGACUGGGCGUAAAGGGCGCGUAGGCGGAUUGUACAGUCAGGCGUGAAAUUCCCGGGCUCAACCUGGGGGCUGCGCUUGAGACGUGCGAUCUUGAGUGGGGAAGAGGGUCGUGGAAUUCCCAGUGUAGAGGUGAAAUUCGUAGAUAUUGGGAAGAACACCGGUGGCGAAGGCGGCGACCUGGUCCUUGACUGACGCUGAGGCGCGAAAGCUAGGGUAGCAAACGGG
rnacentral:rRNA from 1 species